rnacentral:lncRNA from 1 species
CACAUGCGUGGCUGCCCACCCCUGCAAGGAGUCAUUCCCACCAGAAGUUUCCUUGCCCAUCCCUCAUGGGUUGGGGCAUCCACCUGCAGCCUGGGCCUUUGAGCUGAAGGCUGAAUUUAGAAGAAACGAUUUCAGGGUUCUGCUGCUUUUCUGAGAUGAGGGUCUCCUGGGGAGGAGGGCUCAUGAUUGGUGCAUCUGGGAAGAUAGACAGCAUGGAGCCGGGGGCCACCUGGCCUGCUCCCCCAUACACCUGGGCCUGCAUAGAAUCUGCCAACUCUGGGAGGCCUUUCCUUUGAUAGAUUCUACUGAAACAAUUGGACUUGUCAGGACCCAUCAGGGAAGGCUGGUUUCAGGCAGUGAAUUGAAUUUGCAAGCAAGAUAAUCAGUUAUUGAUUGGAAGGGCGAGCCAUGGCUCCUGCCUGCUUCUGAGGAAAUGAACUUCUUCUCUUUCUAGAAUAUUUACUGGUGGGAGUGAAGCAGUGAUCACUUACGCCGAGACAGCCAGAGUCAGCUUUGCAGAAGUGAUGUGGAGGGAGCCACAUCCAUGAUAUUUACGAUUUGCUGUGGGGAGCUAGGGUGGCGGCUUCCAUGUCCCUCUGACACGUCUUGGCUGAGAGGCGCUCAGUUGAGGAGGCUCAGGCAGCAGGUGCACGUGUGUGCUGGGCCUGGCACCCCGUCCAACCUCAGACCUGCAAGCUCCCCCAGACCUCCUCCAGCCCUGUGCAAGGUCUGUGUGACUAGAGAGCACCCUCAUCUGCAGCCUGUGCCCCCCCCCUCCCCCAUUUACUUCAUGCUCUGGGUUUUAGCAUUUCCAUCCCUAAGGCCCUGAGCCUAUUUCUAGGGCAGACUCGAGUCCAUCCUCCAUGGACAGAAGAGAGGGAGCAAAGGGGUUCUGAGUGUGGCCAGAGCUUGGUCUGUGGUGCUUACCCGAGGCCAGGCUGCUUCCUGCACAGCUCAGAUCUAGGAUGGGAGAGAUGGGGGUGGUCAGGGGCAGGGCCAGGGCCCAGGGCAGCUCUCCCCUUGCUGCCCUGCGUAUUCUGAUGCUUCAUUUGGGGUGGAGAAUUCUGAACUUGAGCCUGGCCUUUGGGGUCGUUGGUAAGUCUGUCUGUCAAUGUGGGAGGCCAGAACAUGUUGGAAGCUUGCUGGCCUGACGUGCUGCGGGCCUCGUUUGUACUCUUGCCCUCAGCCUGCAGGAGUUUGGGGGCCUUAUGUUUAGCUGGUGAGUAAAGGAACGAAACAACUUCACACAGCACAUUGUCUGCUUUCCCCAGGUUCUGUGGCCGGAGGCUGGCGACUGCAUAGACUGUGCUUCUAUGCAUCAGGCAGAUUGAAGUCCACUAUUAGGAGCUUUCUGAUUCAAAAUCCAGGUCUCCCCUUCCUCUCUGGAUGGACCAUCAGGGGCCCAGUCCUGGCAGGAUAAUAUGCUCCCAGGUGACCUUUUCCGUGGUGGCUUCAUCUUUGCCCGGUGGGACUUUGGAGAAAGCUUGCUGAGCUUACAUCCCCCUCGUUCACGGGAGGCUUUAUGCUGAGGGCUGAGCACAGCACCGGCACCCAUUCUCCAUCCUGUGCAGAGGUUUUGUGUCUUGGUGUUCUGAAGUGAUGCUGCCUUCUCUUGAUUCCUGGCCACGUCCCAUGAAAAGGGCGAGGGAAUUCUACGACUGGAUCCCAGGCUGGCCGGAGACCUGGGCGGAGUGGUAUUUGUGUUUAUUCUGGAGGGAGCCCUUUCUAUCUGCAAAUAUUAACUAAUCCUUGGCUUCACUCAGAGGGAGACUUGGCGAGCAGGACAAAGGUGGGGGCCUGGGUCAGGAGCGGAAUCCAAGAGCAGCAUGCAAAGUCCUCUGGGGAGCAGGAUCAAUAUACACAGCUAAUCCCCAGGCCUCUGAUCAUCCCCCGGCUCAUCAGAGUGUGGCCUCUGGUCCCUGGAAUGCCCAGAGAACUGGGAAUACUGCCUCAUUAAUUUUCUGGUCACCUUGGGGUAGGCUGGGGGAAAGGAACUCCUCCCCUUUGCAGAUUUUGUUGUGGAAAAUCACUGAGCGUGGUUCCCUUCCUGGCCUUGGGAAGCCAGCUGUAGGGCCGAGAUGGAGUCUGGGGGUGGUGGUGGUGGUCAGGUCCUCCUUCGGAAAGCAGUUUCUCGAGGGGCGGGUGCCGGAGGUGUAGGGGUUUGGUGUGCUUCUCUUCUGGCCCCAGGACAUAGCCCUUGGCUCUUUCAUGUUUCCAACAAGCCCUCCGGUAUGAGUUAGCUGAUCUUGUCAGCUGCCUUUCUCACCCCAAAAGCGGGAUGGGGUAAACCACUCCCCAGUAACGCCAGAAUGUUGCCAGCUGUUCUCGGCGAUUGAAGCUGCGCUGAAUUCUGUUUUGUUUUCUUUCCCACCCUCCUGGAUGGUGGCGAGGGGGAGAGGAUAUAUGUCCAGCAGUCACUGCCAAUUGGAUGUGGGGGAAGGGAAGCUGGGGGUGCUCCUUAAGCUGGGUCUGAAGCUGGGCCACUGCUCUGGGCUGAAUCAUGUCCCCCAAAUUUUCCUGGGGUGAAGUCCCAGCCCCAGGGCCUCAUAAUGCAAAUGUAUUUGGAGACAGGGUCUUUAAAGAGGUGAUUAAGUUAAAACGAGGCCACUAGGCCCUAAUCCAAUCUGACUGAUGUCCUUAUAAGAAGAAAACAGGAUGCUCUCAAACAGAGCAAGGGCCUUGCGAGGACAGUGAGAAGACUGCCAUCUGCAAAGCAAGGAGAGAGGUCUUAGGGGACACAGACCCUGACCACACCUUGAUCUUGGACUCCAGAACUAUAAGCAAAGCACAUUUAUCUGGUUUGAGUCACCCAGGCUGUAGGACUUUGUUUUGCCAGCCUGAGUGCACAGAUGCAGGCACCCUGGGCUUGAUGUGGUGCCGUGGGAAAUCCUCUUGCACGGAUGCCCUGGGAUGGCAGCAGCUUCUGGGGUGUCUGUGCCCAGCACCCCUCUUCCCCCUGAAGGGCUGCCCCUCCUCCGUCCCACCUGCUCCUGGGAGAUGUCGCACACCAGCCCUGCCAAGCCUCCAGCAGCUGGCCCAGCUGGAACGCCGAGUUCAGGGUAUGUGGGGCAACUGCUCAUUUUUCUCCACUAAUAGAACCCCAUUGGAGAGCCGUGGGCUGGGAGAGCUGCCUUAGACAAUUUCCUGUUCCACGAAUGCUAAUAUUCCAACCAACUGGCCUCAAGUGAGAAAUACGUAAUUAACUGAAAGAAGAUCACUUUUAAAUCAUCCCCAGGCACCAAUUUUGGAGACCAGCUCCAGGGCUGGAUGGGCUGUGGGCUUGGCCCAGGGCGGCUAUCCUUAUUUUCUUAACUAACAGGAAAGGACAUGUAGUCAGGGCAAGGAAAUGUGUCUCCGUGAGUUUUUUAAGGGACAAAAUAAAUGUGUCCAAAAUUCUGAUGAUAGAAUUCUC